rnacentral:rRNA from 1 species
UACGUAGGGGGCGAGCGUUGUCCGGAAUCAUUGGGCGUAAAGAGCGUGUAGGCGGCUUGGCAAGUCUGACGUGAAAGUCCGGGGCUCAACUCCGGAUCUGCGGUGGGUACGGGCAGACUAGAGUGAUGUAGGGGAGACUGGAAUUCCUGGUGUAGCGGUGAAAUGCGCAGAUAUCAGGAGGAACACCGAUGGCGAAGGCAGGUCUCUGGGCAUUAACUGACGCUGAGGAGCGAAAGCAUGGGGAGCGAACAGG